UAAGACAAUUUGCUGAAGACAAGUACUUUGC
rnacentral:piRNA from 2 species